rnacentral:rRNA from 1 species
AGUGAACGCUGGCGGUAGGCCUAACACAUGCAAGUCGAACGGCAGCACAGUAAGAGCUUGCUCUUACGGGUGGCGAGUGGCGGACGGGUGAGGAAUACAUCGGAAUCUACUUUUUCGUGGGGGAUAACGUAGGGAAACUUACGCUAAUACCGCAUACGACCUACGGGUGAAAGCAGGGGAUCUUCGGACCUUGCGCGUUUGAAUGAGCCGAUGUCGGAUUAGCUAGUUGGCGGGGUAAAGGCCCACCAAGGCGACGAUCCGUAGCUGGUCUGAGAGGAUGAUCAGCCACACUGGAACUGAGACACGGUCCAGACUCCUACGGGAGGCAGCAGUGGGGAAUAUUGGACAAUGGGCGAAAGCCUGAUCCAGCCAUACCGCGUGAGUGAAGAAGGCCUUCGGGUUGUAAAGCCCUUUUGUUGGGAAAGAAAAGCAGCAGGUUAAUACCCCGCUGUUCUGACGGUACCCAAAGAAUAAGCACCGGCUAACUUCGUG